rnacentral:rRNA from 1 species
GCACAAGCGGUGGAGCAUGUGGUUUAAUUCGAAGCUACGCGAAGAACCUUACCAGGUCUUGACAUCUUCUGCCAAUCUUAGAGAUAAGACGUUCCCUUCGGGGACAGAAUGACAGGUGGUGCAUGGUUGUCGUCAGCUCGUGUCGUGAGAUGUUGGGUUAAGUCCCGCAACGAGCGCAACCCUUAUUAUCAGUUGCCAGCAUUCAGUUGGGCACUCUGGUGAGACUGCCGGUGACAAACCGGAGGAAGGUGGGGAUGACGUCAAAUCAUCAUGCCCCUUAUGACCUGGGCUACACACGUGCUACAAUGGACGGUACAACGAGUCGCAAAGUCGCGAGGCUAAGCUAAUCUCUUAAAGCCGUUCUCAGUUCGGAUUGCAGGCUGCAACUCGCCUACAUGAAGUUGGAAUCGCUAGUAAUCGCGGAUCAGCAUGCCGCGGUGAAUACGUUCCCGGGCCUUGUACACACCGCCCGUCACACCAUGAGAGUUUGUAACACCCAAAGCCGGUGAGGUAACCUUUUGGAGCCAGCCGUCUAAGGUGGGACAGAUGAUUAGGGUGAAGUCGUAACAAGGUAACC